rnacentral:rRNA from 1 species
CCUACGGGCGGCUGCAGUGGGGAAUAUUGGACAAUGGGCGAAAGCCUGAUCCAGCCAUGCCGCGUGUGUGAAGAAGGCCUUCGGGUUGUAAAGCACUUUCAGUGGGGAAGAAAGCCUUGGGGCUAAUACCCUCGAGGAAGGACAUCACCCACAGAAGAAGCACCGGCUAACUCCGUGCCAGCAGCCGCGGUAAUACGGAGGGUGCGAGCGGUAAUCGGAAUUACUGGGCGUAAAGCGCGCGUAGGCGGUCUGAUAAGCCGGUUGUGAAAGCCCCGGGCUCAACCUGGGAACGGCAUCCGGAACUGUCAGGCUAGAGUGCAGGAGAGGAAGGUAGAAUUCCCGGUGUAGCGGUGAAAUGCGUAGAGAUCGGGAGGAAUACCAGUGGCGAAGGCGGCCUUCUGGACUGACACUGACGCUGAGGUGCGAAAGCGUGGGUAGCAAACAGGAUUAGAUACCCGAGUAGUC